rnacentral:lncRNA from 1 species
UGAUCCUGGCAGGGGGUAGAGCCCUGCGUGGGUACAAAACACGUGUAUCCGCAUCCGAGCCGCAAAAAUGGCCUGUGGAUUUGCAGGGCUCUGCUUACCUUGGCCGGGCUGCGGCUCCGAAACACACCCCUGGGUCCCUCCACCUGCCCUGGGCUGGGGGUCGGGGGCUGCUCGGGCCCUCCCGCCUAGGACAGGUGGAGGGUCUGCACACGAUUAUCCUCAACCUGCCCGCCUGGCUCUUACCGUCAGAGCCCUGCGCGGAUAUAAAGCGGAUGCCCCCGGGGAUUUGCAGGGCUCUACAGCUGGGAAAACUUCAAGAUCUCGCCUGGUAUCUGUGCGUGGGCUGGGACGGAGCCGUGAGAUGCUGGAACCACUGAAGCAUGAGCCUGGCAUUGCUCACUUGCUUUCCCCGCAGGAUGAGGAGCUGGUGCCCCUGUCCUGGAGAUUGCCUGCUUUCACCCGCGGCGGAGUCCGGCAGGCGAGUGCGAGAUGUUGCUCUACUCAGCCCAUAAGCAGGAGUGACCGUCUGUUGCAGAGCAGGCAGGUCUGUGGGGGAUUAAAGGCAAAAUACCACUUGCUGUGGUUUGCAACUAGCUGAUGUUCUGGUGACCUUUUCUCUCUCACCUUCAGGAUAAAAGUUGGUGGUGGUGUCCCCAUUUUACAGAUAUGGAAACUGGCACAAACAGUGGCAGGAACUUGCCCAAGCUUGGCCAGCGGUGGGAAUAGAACCCAGGUCUCCUGAGUCGCAGUCCAGUGCUUUGUCCACUACCUUUGCCACGUUACCUAUCCUCUAAUCUCCCCAUCCCUCCAGCAGCUGUAACGAGCCUCCCUGAAUGAGUGUUGAGCAUUUGGCGUGCAUGUAAAACCAAGAGCUGUGGCUCCGUGAAAUAGCCACAGGGUCUCCAACUACAUGCAAGAAUAAGGAGGAGAGACUUGGGCAGCAAAGCCCCGUGUGCCGAUGGCUGUCACUCGUCUCUCCUAUAAGCUUUCACUUGCAGGGCAUUGGCUUCUUUGAUGUGGUGCUCUUGUUUAGAAGCCCUUAGUUGCAUGAGUUCCUAGUUCUCUGGCAUCUGCAGCCCUGUUCUUCACUGGCUGUAAGGAUAGUGCAAAUCUGUUUCCUAGGGCCCGUCUGGAGGCGCCCUUCAGAACCAGAGCAGUUGCUGAGAUCUCUGGCCUGCUGGAUGGAAUGAAGUAGGCACACAGCAGCUAUCCUGCAAGGUGAGAUUGACGACUCCAUUAAGUGCAGCUUCCUUCACCUCCAGAUCCCUUUCCCAUCAGAUCUGAACACCGAUCUCAUGGUCAAAAAAGGAGGCAGAGUAAAAUGCAAGUUGGUCUCAUUCUCUCUGCUAGAACAGUCCUGCACUGAGAGGGGCUGGCUUGGAACACAGCCACUGAUCUGCAAAGCACUGGGUGAAAUGUAAAUCUGUAUAGUUUAAGGGGGAGUGGGGAGGGCUAUAUAUCUUAAACUGCUCAAUGCAACUUUCUUUUGGAGUGUGCUAGUAAAGCAAGGCCAGAAGGGAUCAUUAGAUCAUGCUUCCCCUCCCCUCUUUGAAUUUCAGAGGUGCCGGUGUUUUGGCUGUAUUCCUGCUGAUUUGGUGCAUUCUUCUAUACAUAAAGGCCUGUGGACUUCUGAUCUGAUUCCAGUUCCAUGUUUGCCUUUUGCAGGGAUCUCCCUCUAAAUGGAAGAGGCUGAUGCUGCCAAGGGGAACUAAUGGACUGGCCAGACAGUCUUACCACCUAGCGGAACAUGAUUGUCUCUCCCAAGGGGCUGGAACUCCGGAAAGACCCAUGGAUGGGCAAAGUAAGCUUCCAAAUAACCGAGCUAAAGAGCCAUUGAGCUAGUAAUUCUCAUGUUUGACCACCCUGACCAACACUCCAGGGUGACUAACUCAAUGGAAUCUGAUUUGACUCUGAACUGGCAUUAAAACAUGACACACACCCCAUAUAGGAAAUGGCAACCGCUUCCAAAACCUUGAUCGUUAACUUGCCUCCUGGGGUUGAUGUCCCUGGGACUUGUGGCAUCUUAAAUGGCCUUAAGUGUCACCAUCUGACGAGUACAAGGACUUCUGAUGCAUCCGUAGACAGAUUCCAGGUACAGUCUUGGGAGCCGUAGGACAAAUCCUUAGCUGAUAUAAACCAGCUUAGCACUAUUGACGUUCAUGUAACUGUUUCCACCAGCUGAGGAACUGGCCCCAUAGCUCGGGGAGUAGGACUGCUCUACUCAGAGCAGCUGGUGGCUGCUUUACAAUGAUCCGGAAGAGUCUUUUUACUGGCUAUACUUAACUGAAGGGUGAUUUCCCCUGACACGUGCUGAAGGCUCUGGCACUGGGGGAGGUGGGUUUUUUCUCUCUGCAAUUAUAAGAGCUAGAAAUGUCACUCUGUGACUAGCUUGGUUUCUGCAGAAACUGAGUCUAACUGGAAGUGCUGGUGCAAUGUACAACCACAGACAGACCUCUGCUUAACUCUGCCUGGUCAGUGAUGACUCCUUUUAAAUGGUGACUGUUGGAUGAAUCCUGCGGAUAUGGGGCUGAGGCCAGGAACCCAUCGUUAACAGAACGGGGAGGCUCUGUUUAAAAUGGCUACAUGGUGUCGAUGGGUCUAGCAGCGAGUCGGGCUGCACGCUUCACUCCAUCGCUACCUUGAUUUUAUUUAUUUUUCAGAUCAAAGUGGAACAUAGAGCCAAGAAACUUCAGCUGGGACUGGACUGUUCCCUCCAACUUUCAGUCCCUCUUAAAAGCGACGUUUCUGCUUACCAAAGAGAACGCUGUCCUGCAUAGAAAAUCUCUGUUCCUCUUCCCUUCUCUCUGUCUGCAAGCUCCACGGGGCAGGGGCCUAUACCUUCUCUUGCAUAUGAAAAUCACCUAGUACUACUCUCCCAUCAUGGGAAAUUGUUUACAGGUUCAACUGCAUCUGUAGAAAUACACAACACAAGGACUGUCCUUUCCAGAGUUUGCGUUCUUAGUAAAAACUCCCCUGUAUAGGGAAUCUGGAAAUAAAACAUCAGGAAAUAAUAAAUGCA